GAGUUUGAUUCUGGCUCAGAACGAACGCUGGCGGCGCGUCUUAAGCAUGCAAGUCGAACGGUAAGGGAGAGCUUGCUCUCCCCUAGAGUGGCGGACUGGUGAGUAACGCGUAGGUGACCUACCCUGAAGAUGGGGAUAGCUAGUAGAAAUAUUAGAUAAUACCGAAUAAGCUCAUUUGCAUAAAGGCAGAUGAGGAAAGGAGCUACGGCUCCGCUUUAGGAUGGGCCUGCGUCCCAUUAGCUAAGUUGGUGAGGUAAAGGCUUACCAAGGCAACGAUGGGUAUCCGGCCUGAGAGGGUGAACGGACACAUUGGGACUGAGAUACGGCCCAAACUCCUACGGGAGGCAGCAGCUAAGAAUCUUCCGCAAUGGACGAAAGUCUGACGGAGCGACGCCGUGUGAAUGAAGAAGGCUGAAAAGUUGUAAAAUUCUUUUGCAGAUGAAGAAUAAGGAUAGGAGGGAAUGCCUAUCUGAUGACGGUAGUCAUGCGAAUAAGCCCCG
rnacentral:rRNA from 1 species